rnacentral:rRNA from 1 species
GAUGAACGCUGGCGGCGUGCUUAACACAUGCAAGUCGAACGGUGAACGAGGGAGCUUGCUCCCUCCGGAUCAGUGGCGAACGGGUGAGUAACACGUGAGCAACCUGCCCUGGACUCUGGGAUAAGCGUUGGAAACGACGUCUAAUACCGGAUACGAGGCGUGGGGGCAUCCCCAACGCCUGGAAAGAACUUCGGUCCAGGAUGAGCUCGCGGCCUAUCAGGUAGUUGGUGAGGUAAUGGCUCACCAAGCCUACGACGGGUAGCCGGCCUGGGAGGGUGACCGGCCACGCUGGGACUGAGACACGGCCCAGACUCCUACGGGAGGCAGCAGUGGGGAAUAUUGCACAAUGGGCGAAAGCCUGAUGCAGCAACGCCGCGUGAGGGACGACGGCCUUCGGGUUGUAAACCUCUUUUAGCAGGGAAGAAGCGAAAGUGACGGUACCUGCAGAAAAAGCACCGGCUAACUACGUGCCAGCCGCCGCAGUAACAC